rnacentral:rRNA from 1 species
UACGUAGGGGGCAAGCGUUGUCCGGAAUCAUUGGGCGUAAAGCGCGUGUAGGCGGUUCGAUAAGUCUGUUGUGAAAGUCCAAGGCUCAACCUUGGGAUGCCGAUGGAUACUGUCGAACUCGAGUCCGGAAGAGGAGUGUGGAAUUCCUGGUGUAGCGGUGAAAUGCGCAGAUAUCAGGAGGAACACCAAUGGCGAAGGCAGCACUCUGGGACGUGACUGACGCUGAGACGCGAAAGCGUGGGGAGCAAACAGG